AGCGAUUUAAGAGCCUCGGAAAUUUCCUUUAAGGUCAGGAGAGAAGCUGGUAACAGAUGGGGCGAAGGAGGAAAAGUUCUUUUUGCGGCACCCUCACGCCUUCCCAGCCCUUUCGCGGUUUACUCGCUCCCUGGAAAGCAGGGCAUUCAGGCAGCCCUGAGGAGAGGUCCACAUGGUGAGCCACUGAGGGCCUUGCCAAGAGCCAGCACCAACGUGCCAGGUUUGGAGUAUACCACCUUGGAAGUGAAUCUUCCAGUCCAGUCAAGCCUUCAGAUGACUUCAGAACCGUCCAUGUAAGCCACUCUUGGAUUCCUGACCCACAGAAACUGUUGGAGUAAGUGACGUUGCUGAAGCACCAAUGAAAAUGAAGUCCUGAAGUCCUGUGCUCAAUAUGAAAUGUUGGAAGUUAGAAAGAAAAAAACAAAAUGUGGAUCCAAUCUCAAGGCACUUUUGGUUUAAUGGGAAGAAGUGGAUUAUUUUAAAAGCUACAAAUAAAGUUACAUAAAAGUA
rnacentral:antisense_RNA from 1 species